CUUCUCCACCUUCCCGCCAAAACGACCGAAAUAUCCGCUCUCGCUUCCCCUCUUUUUAGUUGCUCUAUUUUUCUAUUUUCCGACACAGCAAAAUAUCUCGGAUAAACCCAGUCUUCUCUUUCCUCUCCAGUCUUCUCUUUCCUCUUCACAAAUUAGGUCUGUCUCCAAUCGUUAGGGAAAGCUUUUCUGCUGAGCUGUUUACAAACGCUAAUACACUAUCGAUAUGGAAAUGGAAGGUUAAAUGUUUGUUUGCAUGAUAGUUGGAGUUGGAAAAACAAAGGUUCAUUGAUUCCGUUAUCUACUGAAACAGAAAACAGGAAUGGCAGACAAUGAUGAAGUCCCUCUUCAUUUGGGAGACCUUUCAGACAUUCCUGAUCUCUCUAAUGAAUUCACACGUUUGGUAGCUAUGAGGACACCCUGGAUUUUGGUGGCGUUCCACAGUACAAUGCUGUGUCAACACCUUUAGAAGACACUGUUGACUUCUCUUAUGACUUUUCAUUUUUGUUUAACGAGGAUAGCAACUCUGAUGCUGGCAACAUUUCACCGAACGACGAUAACGUUGGUCCAUUGUUUGAUGAGCAAUUGAACCCCGAGGUGCGAGAGGAGGGGACACAUGUCUAUGAACCAGUGAAUGAGGAAAUCCCCAUUCAGGACACCACAGGUACAAGUGACAACCAGAUCAAUACAAAUGGCACCCCAGGUGUCGAGCUUGUUGGUGAAUCUGUUCUUACGGGAAUGGCAGGACAUAACGAGAUACCAACACCUUUAGAUGACUCUCCCGACCUCUCAUCUGACUUUGUCGGUGGUCAACCUUCUAAAUGCAUGAAAAGACCAAUACGGGUGGCAAACACAUGAAUGCAAAUGGCAUUCCAGAUGUCGAAGUGGCCGAGGAGUCUCUUCCUACUGCUAAUGUCGCUUCAACAAUCGAAGCGAUUUCCUGGAAAGCUGUACCAGUUUGUUGAGAGUACCGACAAUACGAUGAUGUGGAAUCAAGAGGGAGACGGCGUAAUUUUCCACACAUCACGGUUUUCUAGAGAUGAACAUGUAGAGUUUGGGGAUUGUUAUAAAGGAAAAUUUAAAGGUUUUUGGACUAAGCUUCGAAAUUAUGGAUUCAAUAGAACUUUGAGCCCUGAUGAAUGGUUGAUCACCAAUAAAUUCUUUUUGAGGGGCAAGACGUAUCUACUUCAGUGUAUCAAGCUAGGCGGCAGUGGUGCAGUCUCCAGUAGCUUUAGCAACACCAUGGAUAAUACCAGUGUAGAUCCCGCAAUGCAAUCUAAAAUGGUGGAGAUGCUUAUGGAUCGGCAGCGUGUCUUGGAUAUUAUGGCCAUGUUAAAUGAUGCGGUAACAAGUUACUCUUGCAAGGUUGAUGCAGUGCUGGAACACGCGCAAGGAAGGUGAUAUUCACGUUUAUAAGAAAUACUGAACUAAGUAAUGAGGAUAGUACAGCUUAUGACAUAUACGGACAUAUACAGUGACAAGCCUAGUUAUACAUUACCUGUUAUUAUAAGAAUUUUCCCUCUGUUAUAAUACGAAUUCGAUAUUCACUAUGAUACAGAUCCAUUAUUCUACAUGUGGUAGUUCCUGACAGAGAAACUGAGGUUGUUAUUUUUA